UCGUGAUGUGGAGUGAAAUAUAGUAACGAAGCCCGUGAGCCAUGCGUCAAGAAAAGCCGCUAUUGUUUAUAUUGUACCCGUACCGUAAACCGACACAGGUGGAUGAGGAGAGAAUCCUAAGGCCGGCGGAAGAAGUAUUGCCAAGGAACUCGGCAAAAUGGCCCCGUAACUUAGGGAGAAGGGGUGCCUGCGAGAGCAGGCCGCAGAGAAUAGGCUCAAGCAACUGUUUAGCAAAAACACAGGUCUAUGCGAAACCGAAAGGUGAGGUAUAUGGGCUGACGCCUGCCCGGUGCUGGAAGGUUAAGAGGAGAGGUUAGACGCAAGUCGAAGCUUUGAAUUUAAGCCCCAGUAAACGGCGGCCGUAACAAUAACGGUCCUAAGGUAGCGAAAUUCCUUGUCGGGUAAGUUCCGACCCGCACGAAAGGCGUAAUGAUUUGAGCGCUGUCUCGGCAAUACAUCCGGUGAAAUUGAAGUGCCAGUGAAGAUGCUGGCUACCCGCGCCAGGACGGAAAGACCCCAUGGAGCUUUACUCCAGUUUGGCACUGGGGUCCGGUGUUGCAUGUACAGGAUAGGUGGGAGGCUGAGAGAUAGUGACGUCAGUUGCUAUGGAGCCGCUGUUGGGAUACCACCCUUGUGAUAUUGGGCUUCUAACCAGCCGCCGUGAACCGGCGGUGGGACAAUGCCAGGCGGGGAGUUUGACUGGGGCGGUCGCCUCCGAAAGGGUAUCGGAGGCGCCCAAAGGUUCCCUCAGAAUGGACGGAAACCAUUCGAAGAGUGCAAAGGCAGAAGGGAGCUUGACUGCGACACCGACGGGUGGAGCAGGUACGAAAGUAGGGCUUAGUGAUCCGGUGGUAUUAAGUGGGAAUGCCAUCGCUCAACGGAUAAAAGCUACCCUGGGGAUAACAGGCUUAUCACUCCCAAGAGUUCACAUCGACGGAGUGGUUUGGCACCUCGAUGUCGGCUCAUCGCAUCCUGGGGCUGUAGUAGGUCCCAAGGGUUGGGCUGUUCGCCCAUUAAAGCGGUACGCGAGCUGGGUUCAGAACGUCGUGAGACAGUUCGGUCCCUAUCCGGCGUGGGCGUAGGAUAUCUGAGAGGAGCUGUCCUUAGUACGAGAGGACCGGGAUGGACGGACCGCUGGUGGACCGGUUGGCUUGCCAAAGCCAUGGCCGGGUAGCCAAGUCCGGAAGGGAUAAACGCUGAAGGCAUCUAAGCGUGGAGCCCCCCUCAAGAUGAGAUAUCCCAUUCUUUAAGAAGUAAACCCCCUUGAAGACGACGAGGUAGAUAGGGCAGAGGUGGAAGUGUGGUAACACAUGGAGCUGACUGUUACUAAUCGGGUGAGGGCUUGACCU
rnacentral:rRNA from 1 species